rnacentral:lncRNA from 1 species
UGAAAGCUCUGACGUCCAACAUUGCAGGUGUAGGAACUCUCUGGAGGGGCGAGGUCCAUCCUUACUGGGUUGCACCUUAACACCGUGGUUGCAUGUGUUAUCCUGAGCUGCCUCCUGAGCUGUGUCAUAUGUGUGUAAUGAGACACCUUAAUCCCCUGACAUGGCUGGUUGUCACCGAGACCAGGACCUGAGCCCGAGGACCAUGCCUCAGGACUACCUGGCCUGAUGACUCCUCGCUGACCCCAGUCCACCUGGUCGUGCUGCUGCUCCAGUUUCAACUGUUCUGCCUGCGGCUAUGGGACCCUGACCUGUUCACAGGACGUGCCACCUGUCCCAGACCUGCUGUUUUCAACUCUCUAGAGAUAGCAUGAGCGGUAGAGAUACUCUGAAUGAUGAGCUAUGAAAAGCCAACUGACAUUUUACUCCUGAGGUGCUGACCUGUUGCACCCUCUACAACCACUGUGAUUAUUAUUAUUUGACACUGCUGGUCAUCUAUGAACAUUUGAGCAUCUUGUCCAUGUUCUGUUAUCUCCACCCAGCACAGCCAGAAGAGAACUGGCCACCCCUCAUAGCUUGGUUCCUCUCUAG